rnacentral:rRNA from 1 species
CAAGCAAGGCAGCAGGCGCGCAAAUUACCCACUCCCAGAACGGGGAGGUAGUGACGAAAAAUAACAAUACGGGACUCUUUUGAGACCCCGUAAUUGGAAUGAGUACACUCUAAAUCCUUUAACGAGGAUCCAUUGGAGGGUAAGUCUGGUGCCAGCAACCGCGGUAAUUCCAGCUCCAAUAGCGUAUAUUAAAGUUGUUGCGGUUAAAAAGCUCGUAGUUGGAUCUCAGUUCCAGACGGGUGGUCCGCCUACCGGUGGUUACUGCCUGUUCUGAACAGUCAGCCGGUUUCUCUUGAUGAUCUUCACCGGUUGUCUUGGGUGACCGGCAAGUUUACUUUGAAAAAAUUAGAGUGCUCAAAGCAGGCGUGACGCCUGAAUAAUGGUGCAUGGAAUAAUGGAAUAGGACCUCGGUUCUAUUUUGUUGGUUUUCGGAACACGAGGUAAUGAUUAAGAGGGACAGACGGGGGCAUUCGUAUUGCGACGCUAGAGGUGAAAUUCUUGGACCGUCGCAAGACGAACUACUGCGAAAGCAUUUGCCAAGAAUGUUUCCAUUAAUCAAGAACGAAAGUUAGAGGUUCGAAGGCGAUCAGAUACCGCCCUAGUUCUAACCAUAAACGAUGCCAGCCAGCGAUCCGGCUGUGUUCCUCAAAUGACACGCCGGGCAGCUUCCGGGAAACCAAAGCUUUUGGUUCCGGGGGAA